UAAUGCAGUCGAACGAACUCUGGUAUUGAUUGGUGCUUGCAUCAUGAUUUACAUUUGAGUGAGUGGCGAACUGGUGAGUAACACGUGGGAAACCUGCCCAGAAGCGGGGGAUAACACCUGGAAACAGAUGCUAAUACCGCAUAACAACUUGGACCGCAUGGUCCGAGUUUGAAAGAUGGCUUCGGCUAUCACUUUUGGAUGGUCCCGCGGCGUAUUAGCUAGAUGGUGGGGUAAUGGCUCACCAUGGCAAUGAUACGUAGCCGACCUGAGAGGGUAAUCGGCCACAUUGGGACUGAGACACGGCCCAAACUCCUACGGGAGGCAGCAGUAGGGAAUCUUCCACAAUGGACGAAAGUCUGAUGGAGCAACGCCGCGUGAGUGAAGAAGGGUUUCGGCUCGUAAAACUCUGUUGUUAAAGAAGAACAUAUCUGAGAGUAACUGUUCAGGUAUUGACGGUAUUUAACCAGAAAGCCACGGCUAACUACGUGCCAGCAGCCGCGGUAAUACGUAGGUGGCAAGCGUUGUCCGGAUUUAUUGGGCGUAAAGCGAGCGCAGGCG
rnacentral:rRNA from 1 species